UACGUAGGGGGCAAGCGUUGUCCGGAUUUAUUGGGCGUAAAGGGCUCGUAGGCGGCCAACUAAGUCAGACGUGAAAUCCCUCGGCUUAACCGGGGAACUGCAUCUGAUACUGGAUGGCUUGAGUUCGGGAGAGGGAUGCGGAAUUCCAGGUGUAGCGGUGAAAUGCGUAGAUAUCUGGAGGAACACCGGUGGCGAAGGCGGCAUCCUGGACCGACACUGACGCUGAGGAGCGAAAGCCAGGGGAGCAAACGGG
rnacentral:rRNA from 1 species